rnacentral:tRNA from 1 species
GCCCCGUUUGUCUAGUCCGGCCAAGGAUGCCACCCUCUCACGGUGGAGACCCGGGUUCAAAUCCCGGACGGGGCA